rnacentral:tRNA from 1 species
GCGGGUAUGGCGGAAUUGGCAGACGCGCUAGACUUAGGAUCUAGUGCCCUAGGGCAUGUGGGUUCGACCCCCUCUACCCGCA